ensembl:lncRNA
UGGUCCUGGAGGCUGAGACUCCACUCUGUGUGUCCUCUGGGUUGCAGCAGUGAACCGGUCCGACUGGCACCCCGCUGCAGGUCCGGCCGCGAGGGAGGCGCGGGGUCAGAUGAGCAUGUCCCAGCGGCCGGCCCGGUGACACGAGCCUGCAGGGCCGGGCCAGGGCCUGGAGAUAGGACCCGCCAGCAAGUAUGCGGAGAAUGUUUUUCUUCGGACUCUCCGGAGGCUCGCAGACCACAGGGAUUCCGUCCGCAGUGACAGCCUUAACAUUUGCCAGAGCCCUGGACGCCACUGCAGAAAUGGCAUUGCCCACCCGGAAAGUGAGAAGGUUGUAUAAAGAGGCAAAAUGAUGGAUUUGGGAGACACGUCGUCAAGGAGAGAGAGAAACAGCUGAAUUGAGACCAGCUCUAAGAAUCAACUGAGCGUUCUCUGGACCAGUGAAAGAGCACGAAUUAGAGAAACACAGAGAAUUCGAGAGGAGUCAUUCUGCCUCUGGGAUCAACCUUGCACCAAAGAAAAAUAACCCAGAGAAAUUAUUCUGCCGCCCGAAACGAAGGCAGGAUCAAAUGGUCGCUGAUCAGAGCAAAUGUUUAAAUUGGAUAAGUCAAAUCGAGUGUUAUUAAAUAAAGCUUGUUUAAUGUGUCUCGGACAGAAAACGUCUUUUGAAGAGUGCUGUAAACCUGAUAUUAGGAAUCUGGCCGAGUGCACGUCUUGGGGCUCGACCGGUGUGCACCGGAACCCAUGUUCUUACGACAGAAAAUGUGAUAUUCUCCCUUCAUGAAGUAUUUUUUUUCCCUGUGUAUUAAAUGAAAGCAGAAAGGUUUUUAGGUAGUUCUUGAAAACUAGUUAAUAAAUAGGAGACAACUGACCCACGUUUUAAUGUUUAUUCGUCAG